rnacentral:tRNA from 1 species
UGUCCGAGUGGUUAAGGAGGUGGACUUGAAAUCCAUUGGGCUCUGCCCGCGCAGGUUCGAAUCC